rnacentral:rRNA from 1 species
GUGCCAGCAGCCGCGGUAAUACGUAGGCAGCAAGCGUUGUUCGGAGUUACUGGGCGUAAAGAGUAUGUAGGCGGUUGGGUAAGUUUGGUGUGAAAUCUCCCGGCUUAACUGGGAGGGUGCGCUAAAGACUGCCUGGCUCGAGUGUGGGAGAGGAAAGCGGAAUUCCUGGUGUAGCGGUGAAAUGCGUAGAUAUCAGGAGGAACACCUGCGGUGUAGACGGCUUUCUGGACCAUAACUGACGCUGAGAUACGAAAGCGUGGGUAGCAAACAGGAUUAGAUACCCUGGUAGUCC